CACCCCGUCUAUGUCUGACAGACUGACGCGUUUUUGCUCCUGUCCCCCUUCUCGGUUCCCGUUAUCCGGUCGUCCUACGGCGCCUCGGAGAGCUGCGUCAAGGAGCACGAGGUGGCUUAGGAAGAUACAGGAAAUGAGUGCUGGGGCAGCGCCUCGGUUCCACUGCUGGAGACAUCUGGCCAGGCUUGGGCAAAAGGUUGGGCCUCAGGAAGCAGUGGACCUAAAUACAGGAAGUCCAAAUCAGGCUGUACCAAGAGCCCACCACAUUAAGGGGAAUCAGGGAUAUUUAGUUUAGACAUUUUGUGUAUUUUCAUCAGAUUUAAGUUCAUUUGGAUACUUUUGUUUGUAGUGUUUGAAUCUCAGUUACACAGACUCACUGUGCUGUGUUGUUUCUUUUGAACUUAGUUAGCAUGUAAUGUGUUAUGUGUUUUAUGUUAUCCCUAUUGUUUUCCAUAUGGUGCCUUUGCCACACCUUGCCAUAUCCUACAUACUUGUUUCAGCGAAAAAAAUAUUAGGUCCAUUAAAAAAAGGGUUUUAUUUUGAAA